ensembl:lncRNA
AUGAUGUUUCUAUGCAGUGUCUGGUGCAUUCUUCUCUUUUCAGGUGAUGUGGGUGGAGAAGGAAUAGCUCCUCUCUCCUCAUCUAAACUUGCUAACAAUGGUGAUUCCAUUACUUUGACCUGCAAUUACAAUGGGUCUUACAGCAGUGAUUCUCUCCUGUGGUAUCGGCAAUACAGCAGCUCCAAACCUCAGUUUUUGUUUCUGGUCAGUGAAUCCAAACUUGAGCAGCCAGCUGACCCUCCAAUACCUGGAGUGUCUGCUAAAGUAAAUGAUGAGAAAAACAGUGUGGAUCUGAAGAUCUCCUCUGCUUCAGCAUCAGACUCUGCAAUGUACUACUGUGCCCUGCAGCCCACAGUGACAGGAAACACAUCAACACUGUACAAAAUUAAGGGGAAAACUCAGCAAAGGUCAAGCAGUUUUAAAUUGUGCUUAAGUAAUUUCUAAUGUGUCUAAUAGCAGUACAGACUCUUUCAAUUCUACAAUGGCAAAAAUGUGUUGAUAAAGAUCUAUAGUGCAGCAACACACUUCUCCUCAUUCUAGUAAUGAUUCAGCUUUGCCUCACUGAUUUUGCAAUUCUUACAGGUAUAUAAAUUUGAUAUUUGCAUAUGUUAAUAUAUCUAGCAUAUCUAUAGUCCUAUAAAAGAUUCAUAUUAAUGAAAAUAUAAAAUGCUGCUGUUGAUAUUUUACUAGCGAGUAUUUUGCAAAUGCAAUAAAAUCCCUCUGAAAAGUGCA